UCUUGAUGUUUUAAUCCUGCCAGGAGUUUCCGUGAGGUUUUUUCAGUGGGAUUAUUUGUGUCCCUGUGGCUCUUCAGGGAGCUUGCAGAAUUCUAGCUAAAGAUAAGAAGGGCAUCGCUUCAAAUGGGAGGCCAAUCAAUGCAGCAUUAGGAAGGCUUCAUUCAGCUCAGCACCACCUUGCAUGCUCAGUGUAAAUUCUCCUGGAGCCUGUCAAGCUAUGUUUGAACUCGUUCCAGGAUAGUGGAUUUACUUUUUUUUCCCCACCAGGAAGAAUACUCGAUUAGACUGCAUUUUGCCUUGCUUUUCCUUCUCCCUUUCUCUCUCUUUCUUUCUUUCUUUCUUUCUUUCUUUCUUUCUUUCUUUCUUUCUUUCUUUCUUUCUUUCUUUCUUUCUUUUUCUUUCUCUCUCUCUCUCUCUUUCUUUCUUUCCUUUCUUUUCUUUCUUUCCUCUUUCUCUUUCCUUCUUUCUUUUUUUCUUCUUUCUUUCCUUCCUUCCUUCCAUCUUUCUUUUCUUUCUUUCCAUUUUUUUUUUCCUCCAGAAGAAUGGAAACAGUAUUCUUUUCCGAUCAGUUCAGUAAUACAAUGUCCUUCAGUGUCCAUAUGAGCAUUUCAGUGGAGAAGAAAAGAAACUUUGCUACCUGGGAACUGAAGACUACUUACAUAGACCAGCCGGUGCUGAUGGGGUCCGGGACUUGACGAUGGCGCCUGCUCGUUCCUGUUGUGUUCUAUCUGAGGCAUGAUUUUCUUUCGUUUUUGGGAGGUAGAGAGCACGGGGCAGAGGUUGCACCUGACACAUUAGAACUCCGUUGUCACUGCUGUGGCUGUUAUUCCCCUCGGCAAGAGCCAAGGAGCAAACAGGACGGCAAAGAUGGGCUGUCUGGAAAGCUGGACUCAGCCUGGAGCAUGUUCCCCAGAUUGCUAUUUUGUGAAGGCUUCCGCAUACAAAUGACUCAGAUCCAAACAUUCAAAAAUGAUCUUGGAGGGCCAUCUGGUUCUUGCUGGUUCUAAAAGCUUCCUUCAGCCUGGAGUAUGGAUCCAGUACAAAAGAUAGUGAGAGCUGUUCAUUGAGGUUUAACAUGUUCCACUGACCGAGGCUAGAAGCUGGCUUUAAAAAAUAGCCAACACUGAUGCUCCAAGGGCCAAUUGCUGAUGCUUGUCACAGUGAAGAUCCCGGUGUUACACAUCCAAUCGUUCACCUCCUUCCAAGACUAUGACAUUCCAGGAAACCUUCACUGCUAAGAGGAACUAAGAUCUAGAGUAUCUCCUCGAGGAAGUACAACUGGUAAGUCCUGGAUUCUCCCUCCUUGGUUCUUCCCUGGACCAAGGACAGAAGAAUCAUUCAACACAGAGGCUAUUGACAAAAGGGGCAUAUUUGGUGCAAACAGGGGUAAGUCAUGAUUAGUUCGGUAAUUAAUAAGAAGUCCAGUGGCUCACGUCUGUUUUCACUAAGGUGGGGAGCAGUAUGUGUCCAGAGCUCUAGAGGGACCGAAAGGCCAAGUGUCCACGGUGGCAAGAGAAUCCAGAAGUUUUCUCCUCCUGUCCUGUAACUGGUUUUCACUCACUCAACUGAGAGAUUUCUUUGUUGCAAUGAUGGGGUCUAAGAUAACACUUCUGGAGGCUGCAGGCGAGAAACACAGCUGAUAUCAUCUUUUAUUGUGUGUUGUUAUUUGCCUAGCAUUAUAAAUUAAGGAGGAAUAGUAACAAAGAGCUUGAAGACAUGCACAGCUCACAGGCCCCGGGUGGAGGCUGGCGACAUCAGACAGACAGAACCAAGACAUCUGAGGGGCAACCAGGAGGUGCGUGUGGCUGCAGAGCACACACAGACUUGUCUUUGGACAAAAUUGAGAAGAACUCAUAAACUUGGCUUCCUCGCUUCUGCUCCUCAGACGCGCGUGGAUGAUUUGAAGAUAUUAGCCUAACAAGAUGGAAGCAGGUUUAAAAUUUUACAUAAGAAGUUACCUUUUUCAGGUAAUGGUGUUUUUCUGUAAUUUUCCCAAACCUUUCGCUUCCUCAAGUAUUGCAAAUUUUUAGGGCAUGCUUGAAUGAUUUAAUUAUGAAGAAUAACUACAUUUUAAACUUAAUUUUUUAAAAAAGAA
rnacentral:lncRNA from 1 species